rnacentral:rRNA from 1 species
CCUACGGGGGGCUGCAGUGGGGAAUCUUGCGCAAUGGGCGAAAGCCUGACGCAGCGACGCCGCGUGCGGGAAGAAGGCCUUAGGGUUGUAAACCGCUUUCAGGAGGGACGAAGCCACUCGGGUGAAUAGCCCAGAGGGUGACGGUACCUCCAGAAGAAGCCCCGGCUAACUACGUGCCAGCAGCCGCGGUAAUACGUAGGGGGCAAGCGUUGUCAGGAUGUAUUGGGCGUAAAGAGCGUGUAGGCUGUGAAAGCUGGAGGCUCAACCUUCAGACGUCGACCGAAACCCCCUGGCUAGAGUCCGGGAGAGGAGAGUGGAAUUCCUGGUGUAGCGGUGGAAUGCGCAGAUAUCAGGAAGAACACCCGUGGCGAAAGCGGCUCUCUGGAACGGUACUGACGCUGAGACGCGAAAGCGUGGGGAGCGAACAGGAUUAGAUACCCCAGUAGUC